GAUGUUAGCCCAAGCCUCACAUUUCGAGGAUUGCUUGUAAAGCUUGGAAAUUUACUAUCAAAUGAUUUCCAAGCUAAAGAAUCUGUAGGAUGCCUUAAUAAUCAAUCAUCAUUUCAUUGAUCAUGAUAUCACGUCAUAGACUCAGCUGUCUUUGACGACAUGAAAAGCCUUUGAAGCCUUGGUAUUAGUGGAAAAUGUCACAAAAUCUUUAUUGACUUCUUUCUUAACUAUGUCUCAC
rnacentral:lncRNA from 1 species